AACGAACGCUGGCGGCGCGCCUAAUACAUGCAAGUCGAGCGAGAAGACGUAGCAAUACGUUUGUAAAGCGGCGAACGGGUGAGGAAUACAUGGGUAACCUACCCUCGAGUGGGGAAUAACUAGCCGAAGGUUAGCUAAUACCGCGUACGCUCCUUGGACUUCGGUUCAGGGAGGAAAGCGAUACCGUGGGUAGUCGCGCUCUUGGAUGGGCUCAUGUCCUAUCAGCUUGUUGGUGAGGAACGGCUCACCAAGGCUUCGACGGGUAGCUGGUCUGAGAGGACGAUCAGCCACACUGGCACUGCGACACGGGCCAGACUCCUACGGGAGGCAGCAGUAAGGAAUAUUGCGCAAUGGGCGAAAGCCUGACGCAGCGACGCCGCGGUGGGGGA
rnacentral:rRNA from 1 species